AUGGAGGGCUCAGCGCUAGGUUAGCAUGUCAGCGAGGUCUGUCUGUAUAUCUGUCUAUUAAUGGUGGUAAUUGCCAGUUGGUGGUAUGAGGGGCUCAGCGCUAGGUUAGCAUGUCAGAGAGGUCUGUCUAUUAAUGGAGGGGCUCAGCACUAGGUUAGCAUGUCAGAGGUCUGUCUAUUAAUGGAGGGCUCAGCGCUGGGUUAGCAUGUCAGAGAGGUCUGUCUAUUAAUGGAGGGGCUCAGCGCUAGGUUAGCAUGUCAGAGAGGUCUGUCUAUUAAUGGUGGUAUGAGGGGCUCAGCGCUAGGUUAGCAUGUCAGAGGUCUGUCUAUUAAUGGAGGGCUCAGCGCUAGGUUAGCAUGUCAGAGGUCUGUCUAUUAAUGGAGGGGCUCAGCGCUAGGUUAGCAUGUCGGCCUGUAUUACAGCUCUCUGUCUCCAGUACUACUGUGUUCUUUCUAGGUACAGGUUACAUCUACCACUGUCGUUUUAUUCCAGGACACGGAGGAGGACCCAGAGAGAGGCCACCAGAUGGUGCUGCUUCGUCGUCUCUGUCUGCCCAUGAUGUCCUUCCUGUUGCAGACAGUACUGCAGAGAACACAACGUCACCAGGAGAGUCUCAGACUGGCUGAUAUCAUCGCCUCAGACCAACACCGCCUCUACGAGGUGUUCUCCAAGGAGGAGCUGAGGAAGUUCCUUCAGAAGAUGAGGGAGUCGUCUCUUCUCUUAUUGGAUAAGGGUCUAGACCCGCUGGGGUACGAGAUCCAACCAUAAAUACACCUGGACAUUUUUCUUUGUGUUUUUUUUUUUUUUUUUUUGUUGCCAAAUUUAAGUAACGGAGUGAAUGAUUUUCUGCAUUUUGUAUACAAUAAAAGUGACGUGUCUGAAA